UCCGCCUUGGAGGCGGCAGUCUCCUAUGAAAAAACAACAUAGGAUGAGGGUUGCGCUCGUUCGCUGACUGAACAGUACACCUCAAGGCACGAGCUGACGACGACCGUGCAUCACCUGUCUUCGGGUUCCUUGCGGCACUCCAACCUUUCGGCCGGAUUCCCGAGAUGUCAAACCUGGGUGAGGUUCUUCGCUUAUUAUCGAAUUAAACCCCAUGCUCCACCGCUUGUGUGGGUCCCCGUCUAUUCCUUUGAGUUUUAGCCUUGCGGCCGUACUUCUCAGGCGGCGUGCUUACCGCGUUAGCUAAGGCACUGGAAUCGAUUGAGAUUCCAACACCGAGCACGCAUCGUUUAGGGCGUGGACUAC
rnacentral:misc_RNA from 1 species